AAGAAGGCAAGGCAGCGAGCGGGAUGGAUCCCGCUCGCUGUUUUGCCUUCCUUUAGCCCCGUGCAGCCUCUCCUUGCCGGGAGAGGCUGCGUGGGAGCUAAAGCCAUAGCCCCGUGCAGCCUCUCCUUGCGGAGGGGUUGCGCGCAGCUAUGGAAGAAGGCAAGGCAGCGGCGGGAUGGAUCCCGCUCGCUGUUUUGCCUUCCC